CGUGUAGGCGGCCUUGUAAGUCAGAUGUGAAAUACCUUGGCUUAACCAAGGAAGGGCAUUUGAAACUGCUUGGCUUGAGUACGGGAGGGGGAAGCGGAAUUCCCGGUGUAGAGGUGAAAUUCGUAGAUAUCGGGAGGAACACCGGUGGCGAAGGCGGCUUCCUGGACCGAUACUGACGCUGAGACGCGAAAGCGUGGGGAGCAAACAGGAUUAGAUACCCUGGUAGUCCACGCCCUAAACGUUGGGCACUAGGUGUUGCGGGUAUUGACCCCUGCAGUGCCGAAGUUAACGCAUUAAGUGCCCCGCCUGGGGAGUACGACCGCAAGGUUAAA
rnacentral:rRNA from 1 species